rnacentral:rRNA from 1 species
UAUGGUAGCCAGCAGCCGCGGUAAUACGUAUGGUGCAAGCGUUAUCCGGAUUUACUGGGUGUAAAGGGUGAGUAGGCGGUCAUGCAAGUCAUAUGUGAAAUGUCAGGGCUUAACCUUGGCGCUGCAUAAGAAACUGUAUGACUAGAGUGCAGGAGAGGUAAGCGGAAUUCCUAGUGUAGCGGUGAAAUGCGUAGAUAUUAGGAAGAACACCGGUGGCGAAGGCGGCUUACUGGACUGUUACUGACGCUGAGUCACGAAAGCGUGGGGAGCAAACAGG